UUUUCACACCUUCAAUCUCUGCUGCCUGGAAGACAAAACCGGAGUCUCUGAGGAGUAGAGAAAGGUCCAGUUAAUGUCGAUCUUGAGUAAGCUGAUCUCCCCUGGCAGUGAAUGCAUUUAGUGAGAAGAAAGAUAUGUUGAUGGACUGAGUCAGGAAUGUCUGCAAAUAUAAUUGCAUUGUCUGUUGAAAUAUGUGUUAACUUCCACUGCAGUUCUCUUCAAUAAACCACUGCAAAUACGCUUUUGCCUCCUGAAACACUAAGGGAGGGCCACAU